UUUCAGUUUCAAGCUUGGACCUGAAGCUCACAAAUUUCCAAGAAACCGGGGUCUUUUGGAGCUCGGUAAGGCACAAGAUGUCAACACAGCCUUCAGUUCGCAGUGUGGUCUCAGGUUUAACUGCUCCUGCUCUUUGCCCCUGGUUUCUUGAACUUUCCAAAACCAAGCAAUAUGGAAAACUGUAUAAACAUAUCCUGUCUUUGCGUUUCAGUUUUCUUUUUGUGUUGUAGG